rnacentral:rRNA from 1 species
UAGAGUUUGAUCCUGGCUCAGAACGAACGCUGGCGGCGUGGAUAAGACAUGCAAGUCGAACGAGACAAGGUUUGUAGCAAUACAGAUCUUGUUUAGUGGCGCACGGGUGCGUAACACGUGAGCAAUCUGCCGGAAAGUGGGGGAUAGCUCGCCGAAAGGCGAAUUAAUACCGCAUGUGGCUAGAAGGAGCCUUCCUUCGACGCUAAAGUAGCAAUACGCUUUCUGAGGAGCUCGCGGCCUAUCAGCUAGAUGGCGGGGUAACGGCCCACCAUGGCUAUGACGGGUAGCUGGUCUGAGAGGACGACCAGCCACACUGGAACUGAGACACGGUCCAGACACCUACGGGUGGCAGCAGUCGAGAAUUUUUCACAAUGGGGGAAACCCUGAUGGAGCGACGCCGCGUGGAGGACGAAGGCCUUCGGGUUGUAAACUCCUGUCAUGCGGGAACAAGAAAGUGAUAGUACCGCAAGAGGAAGAGACGGCUAACUCUGUGCCAGCAGCCGCGGUAAUACAGAGGUCUCGAGCGUUGUUCGGAUUCAUUGGGCGUAAAGGGUGCGUAGGUGGCGAUGCAAGUCUGGUGUGAAAUCUCGGGGCUUAACCUCGAAAUUGCAUUGGAUACUGCGUUGCUAGAGGAUUGUAGAGGAGAGUGGAAUUCACGGUGUAGCAGCGAAAUGCGUAGAUAUCGUGAGGAAGACCAGUUGCGAAGG